AGCUUCAAGACCCACCUUCGGGCUUGUUUUUGAUGGAUUCUUAAGCAUCAUCUGCGAAUCCUUGAGGGGAAGGGGCUCUCUGAUCUGCCGCCGGUAUCCUGUCGUAUCUCAUCCCUGUUAACACUCCAGUUAAGACGGAGUCACAGGUCCUCAUCUCCCAUUUCAUCACCCAGUGUCAGUCCCUAUCGACACGUGCAACAUCUUACGAGACGCGACACGGAAGUACACUCGGCGACAGACACGUGAGAGUUUCGGUGCAGCUUGCGGCACGACCACGGCUUCUGCGGGCGAGCGAGAUCUCCGAGGGCUGACAGCAGAAGGAAAUCGGGAUGGAGGCAAACUGCCCAGUUCCUGUCGUGUUGUGGCCAUUAAUGAAUUCCGCCGGGCAGCAUGGACAGCCAGCAAGGUCACGGUCCUGACAGACGGAGGCGGAGGGGAAGCCGUCAUCCCAGGUUAGGCUGCCUGACACUUCCGCACCAGAACAGAGGAGCUGGGCAUCGUUAUCCACUCAG